GCCGGGCAUUGUGGCACAUGGCUGUAAUCCCAGAACUCAGGAGGCUGAGGCAGGAGGAUUGUUUACAAGUUUGGGGCCAGCCUGGGCUACAAAGCUAAGCUCAAGGUCAGCCUGAACUGCAUAGCGAGACCCUGUCUCAAAAAGACAAAAAAAAAAAGAAAAAAGAGACAGGGUCUCGCUAUGCAGUUCAGGCUGGCAUUAAGCUCACUUUGUAGCCCAGGCUGGUCUCAAACUUGUAACAGUCCUCCU
rnacentral:sRNA from 1 species